rfam:Aeromonas molluscorum 848 Cont153, whole genome shotgun sequence.
GAAUAAAAAGAGCCAGGUACGAAUUCCUUGUACCUGGCAUAGGGGAAUUGGCUCUUUGCAGAGCCGUGCGCUAACUGGUCACAGAUAAAAUAAAGCGUAGCCAAGGGCGAUGGCUUUGCAAGAUC